GCUAAUAAUUGGCCAAGGGUGUCUCUUACCAGCAUUUCCAAGACCACCAAUUUCUGGCAGCUGUUUCCCUUCUCUAUGCAUGUAACUACUGUUGUCAACCCGGGAUUUGAGGAUAUGAAGUCUAGACAUAACAGAAGCCUCACAAUCAUUUGCUUGGCUGGUUGCUCUUGAAACGGGAGAAUCCUGGAUGCUGAACUCAGGCAUUAAGCUAUCACUUGUGUCAGGUGCAAUUACCUCAAUCUUGGGUUCUGGCAGUUGUUGCCCUUCUGUAUGCAUGUCACUACAGUUGUCAACCCGGGAUUUGAGGAUAUGAAGUCUUGACAUAACAGAAGCCUCACAAUCAUUUGCGUGGCUGGUUGUGAUUGAAGGAGGAGAGUCCUGAAAAAGAUUGAACUCAGAUGCUGAGCCAUCAUUUCUGUCAGGUACAAUUACGUCAGUUUUGGGUUCAAGAGACACCUUCGG
rnacentral:lncRNA from 1 species